rnacentral:lncRNA from 1 species
ACCACUCCCUUGUAGAUCUCCUCCACCUGGACCAGAAGCAUUACUAUUUGGAGUACCACUGGAACGACCUCCAACAGCCCCAUACCCAGCAUUCCCAUAAGAUCCAUCAUUUCCACCAUACCCACCAUAUCCAUAACCUUGACUCCCGUACCCUGUUGCUCCAGUGGGAGAUUGGCCGGUACCUGCAGAACCUGGACCACCACUACCAGCACCACCACCUGGGGCACCCCAAGGAGCAGCACUCCCAUAACCCAUAGUACCAUAACCAGAAGGAGUUUGAGUACCCCAUGAGCUUCUAGGGGCACCAGGUGGGCCACCUGCAUAACCAGCAUUGGGGUUCCCAUAAGCUGCGCCUGCAGGGCCACCAUAACCAGCACCAGCACCACCAUAAUUGCCAUAACCACCAUAACCAACACCAUUAUUAGCCGGACCAUAACCAUAACCAGGUGCACUAUAUCCCGACGAGCCAUAAGGUGGAAAGCCAGCUCCAGUACUCUGGGGCUGCAUGUACCUAUUGGAGUCCAUACGACCAUCAUAAGAACUCGCGUUCCCACCAGAAGCACCAUAGCCCUGGUAACCUCCACCACCACCAGCACCACCACUCAUAGUUCGGCUAAGCCCACCAGGAUUGGCAUCUUUAGGGAGGGCUCGCUUCACUUCAACUUGCUUGCCAUUCAAAUCAUGAAAACUCUUGUGCAAAACCCUAUCAACUGCAUCCUCAGCAUCAAAGGAGAUAAAACCAAAUCCACGAGGCCGCUGAGUAUUCUGGUCAUAC